rnacentral:rRNA from 1 species
CCAGCUUCAAGAUUAGGAAUCGUUGAGAACCGUGAGAGAUGAUCACGUUGAUAGGCUUUAAGUGUAAGCGCAGUAAUGCGUUCAGCUAAGAAGUACUAAUGUUUCGAUU